rnacentral:rRNA from 2 species
GGUGGUGCAUGGUUGUCGUCAGCUCGUGUCGUGAGAUGUUGGGUUAAGUCCCGCAACGAGCGCAACCCUUGAUCUUAGUUGCCAGCAUUCAGUUGGGCACUCUAAGGUGACUGCCGGUGACAAACCGGAGGAAGGUGGGGAUGACGUCAAAUCAUCAUGCCCCUUAUGACCUGGGCUACACACGUGCUACAAUGGAUGGUACAAAGGGCUGCAAACCUGCGAAGGUAAGCGAAUCCCAUAAAGCCAUUCUCAGUUCGGAUUGUAGGCUGCAACUCGCCUACAUGAAGCCGGAAUCGCUAGUAAUCGCGGAUCAGCAUGCCGCGGUGAAUACGUUCCCGGGCCUUGUACACACC